CUUGUUCUUGGAGGUUGUGAGCUGCAAGAGGAAAUAUAUCUCCUUAGGAGAUUAAGCUGGACACAACCUGGCCAUCUGCUUUCUUGGCAAGGGCUGAUAUAGGCUGCCUUUAUGGAUAAGGGAGAUGGAACAGGGCAUGUCACUGGCCAACAGUGCUGCAGGCAGUGAGGCAUGGAGGAAGACAGACUCCUAGGCCAGCUGACUGCUGUCAACAUCUUAGAGUCCAUGGAGCAGCUCUCGUGAAAACUGUAUGUCUUCAAGGAACGGGAUGAAGAGGAGUCUUGAUACCAUUACAACUCCAGUGGUGGAAGACCUUAUUUUGACCAAAUAGCUCUGCCAGGGGGAAGGGCAGAGGGAGAGAGAGCAUCUUAAGCAGGCUCCAUAUCCAGCACAGAGACUGAUGAGGGGCUCAAUCUCACAACCCUGAAAUCAUGACUUGAGCCAAAAUGAAGAGUUGGACACUUAACUGACUGAACUACCCAGGGGCCCUAUAAAAUGUAACUUCUUUAUGUGGCUUGUAUAAUCCAGAUCCAAUUUAAAUAUCCAAAUAGA